rnacentral:rRNA from 1 species
AACCUGGGACAAUGUUCGCAAUCGUGUUCCAGCCAUGCCGUUAUAUUGAAUAAUACCUUCUGUAUGUAAAGCACGUUUUGACGGAAAGAAAUCGCCCAGGCCAAUACCCUGCGCUGAUGACGGUACCGUCAUAAGAAUCACCGGCUAACUACAUGCCAGCAGCCGCGCUAAUACGUAUGGUGCGAGGGUUAAUCGGAAUUACUGGGCGUAAAGCGUGCGCAGGCGGUUGAUUAAGACAGGCGUGAAAUCCCCGGGCUUAACCUGGGAACUGCGCUUGUGACUGGUCAGCUAGAGUACGGCAGAGGGGAGUGGAAUUCCACGUGUAGCAGUGAAAUGCGUAGAGAUGUGGAGGAACACCGAUGGCGAAGGCAGCCCCCUGGGCCGAUACUGACGCUCAUGCACGAAAGCGUGGGUAGCAAACAGG